GGAUGUAGAAGGGGAGGAGUCCUUCUAUUUGAAGAACUCUUCCAUGCCAAUUAAUAUCACAUGGAGAAUUUAUUCUUUGCAUGAGAAAGUGGAGCGCCAAGAGUUGGCACUCCUUGGGGAUUGUUUGCAUCCCUUCAUGCCUUAUAUAAAGGUGUCGCUCCUUAUGGGAUAAGGGCAGAAUUUUUCUAGUUAUUAGGUAUGUGAUA
rnacentral:lncRNA from 1 species